rnacentral:rRNA from 1 species
CAGCCGCCGCGGUAAAACGGAGGGUGCAAGCGUUAAUCGGAAUUACUGGGCGUAAAGCGUGCGUAGGCGGUUCGUUAAGUCUGUUGUGAAAGCCCCGGGCUCAACCUGGGAAUGGCACUGGAUACUGGCGAGCUAGAGUGUGUCAGAGGAUGGUGGAAUUCCCGGUGUAGCGGUGAAAUGCGUAGAGAUCGGGAGGAACAUCAGUGGCGAAGGCGGCCAUCUGGGACAACACUGACGCUGAGGCACGAAAGCGUGGGGAGCAAACAGGAUUAGAUACCCGCGUAGUCCCUGUCUCUUAUAC